rnacentral:snRNA from 1 species
GUUUCUCAAUGAGAAACCAUUGAU